AAUGCCGUUCUGAUGGGAAAACCUGACCUGAGUCAUCUCAUGACGUGCAUUUCCUUUUGUCUCCCUUUACUACCUGCUGCCUCCUGGAUUCGGCAAAAAUUGCAGCUUCCAAACCACUCUGGAGCUGAGGACUGGCUGCAUCAGGAUUCUCUUCCCUUCCAUUGAGCUACCCUCCUUCCAGAGGCAGAGCAGGCUAACCUGAGUGGAAGAAUCAGUCUGUGUAAUGAGGAUAUAAGUUGGGUCUGCAGUGUCUAAAGCCAGGCACACAGGAACUGAAAGCAGGGCCCUUGGUGCCAGCAUCACUACCUCAUCUUUUGAUCCAGACACAGGAUGGAAGUCUCAGGGAAGAGUGUUCCUUUUAACCAAAACAUUAUUUUCAUUUUAAAUUCUGUCUCUAUGUCUAUGUCUCUGUCUCUGUCUCUCUCUCGCUUACAGAUCCUCUGCAAUUCAAUCUUAACACCAAGCCUACUGUCCAGCCUAGGAGAAAAUGUUCUGAGAGACAGAGCUGCUGGGUGCUAGGGCAGGUGUUUGAAGGAUUCUUUGCUGUACUGUGGGUACCUGUCUCAGGGGUGAGUAGUGUCAGAAAGAGCAUGAGUUUCUUUCUUUUGGAUUAUGAUGACUAUAUAGAUGCAGGCAAAAUAUUCAUGAACUAAGGAAAAAUGUGAAGGAAAAUUU
rnacentral:lncRNA from 1 species